rnacentral:rRNA from 1 species
UACGAAGGUGGCAAGCGUUACUCGGAAUUACUGGGCGUAAAGCGCGUGUAGGCGGAAAACCAAGUCAGGGGUGAAAUCCUGGAGCUUAACUCCAGAAUUGCCUUUGAAACUGGUUUUCUUGAGUGUAGUAGGGGAUGGUGGAAUUUCCAGUGUAGAGGUGAAAUUCGUAGAUAUUGGAAGGAACAUCGGUGGCGAAGGCGACCAUCUGGACUACAACUGACGCUGAGACGCGAAAGCGUGGGGAGCAAAC